GCACGAAUGAGAUUGAGUCACCUGGGGUCACUGCCAUAGGCUGCCUCUGAUUGGAGGUUGAUGGUAUUCUUUUAAGUCAUGAGGAUACAGACCCAUGCUUCAUGAUUUGGCAAAAAAAUAAUAAAAUGUAUUUAUAUUUGCCAAAUGCAGUCCCUUGAUAAUGGCUGGAUGCCAAAACAUUAUUUUCUGUUUUGCUUUGGUUUGGGGUUUUUUGGUUGUUGUUUUUUUUUUUUUUUUUUUUUUCAAGAAUUUGGCUUGAACUAUGGAAAUUCCCAUGAUGAGAGGCCACUCGGUGAGAACAGAUGACCCCCAAGAACUAUCAGCUACUGAGAGUUCCUCUCCACUGAGUCCAUAAAACCCUUCCAACUGGAGAUGGCUUUAGUUGCCUCUUGGUCAGAACACAAGCUAUAUGGGACCUUUUUGGACUUCAUCAUUUCCCCAGGCUGUCUUUCAAAGCUUCUUAUUCGCUGAUGAAAUUAACCAACAGGCCAAAAUGCAUGUAUCCAGAGACAGUGGAUUGUGCAGAUUAGAGAGAAGUGUUUCUCCAGUGCGGAAUCGCCCUUUCUGGGCCACCUGGAGUUCCCGAUCUCUCACACUUCCUUAUUUCAAAACUUACUACGAUGCUACAGUAAUCAAAACAGCGUGGUACCGGAGUAAAGACAGACAUAUAGAUCAACAACAUAAAGUAGCUCAGAAAUAAACUCUCACACUUAUGGUCAAAUGAUUUUCAACAAGACCACUAACACUGUUCAAUGGGGGAAGGACAGUCUUUUCAACAAAUGGUGUUGGGGAAACUGGAUACUCACAUGCAAAACAAUGAAGUUGUACCCUUACCUUGUACCAUAUACAAAAAAUGAAUUCAAAAUGGAUUUCUUAGAGGAAAACAUACAGGAAAAUCUUUUUGACAUUGGGUUUGUCAAUGAUGUCUUGGAUAGGAUACCAAAAGCAUAGGCAACAACAGCAAAAACAGAUAAACUGGCCCGCAUCCAAAAUUAAAACCUCUGUGCACCAAAGGGCAUAAUAGACUGAAAAGGGAAUGUGAAGAAUGGGAAAAAAUAUUUGUAAGUGAUAUGUGAUGAGGAGUUAAUAUCCAGACUAUAUAAAGAACUC
rnacentral:lncRNA from 12 species